UUAUCUCUAUCUCUAUCUCUAUCUCUUUUUUUAUCGCUAUUUCUAUCUUUAUCUCUAUCUCUAUCUCUAUCUGUGUUGGUCAACGAACUGUAACGCUCAACUUUUAUCGAUCUCCUUAUGGAAAACAGUCAAACGUUUUAUUCGAGCAAGAGAAAAUUACAUAAAACAAAGAAUCGUUUGAAACCACUAACUUCCUGCAUUAUCUGCGCAGAAAGUAUUUAUUCAAUCUUUACUUGACUACUGUUAUUAGUUUAGAAUUGUCUAGUUAUAAAUUAUAGGUUAUGUAGCUGUUUCCCACAAUUUUGCAAUCUGAAGUCAAAUAGAUAAAUACAUAGCUUAUAAUUGGUAAAAUUUAUUUCUAGAAAUUUCUUUUGUUUCAUUAUGAAACACGAUAGGUGUUAGUGUAAUAUGUAUUAAAGAAUUUAUUAACACUAGUGAUUAGCAAUUUAUUAUUAGCAAAGUUUGACUAAUAAUAUGAGUUUAAUUGUGCAAAGGGGCUCAGGUUUCAAACAUACAAUAAUUCAUAAUAGAUAAAAUUACUGAUACAAUAGAAAACUACAAUCGUAUACAUUGGAAUACAAUUUCUUCUCUUGAAAAUAAAAGAUCAUACUUCAUAAUGGACAAAGUCAUGGAUAUUUGAUAGUUACAAAAAGUACAAUUGUUUGUCUUGGAACAUAGUUCAGAAAUAAUGUUUUAGAUAAACAUCUGUUCAAAUUCUGUAACUUUUUCGAUACUUUAUACUGUUUCGAGGCAAUAUGCGAGAACUGUUUGAACUUCGACAACUGGAGCCCACCGGUAAUAAGCCGUUUUAAAAAUAUUUCUCUCACGGCAACGAAUCUCUCGCACGAUACAUCGAUCCCAGCGUUCACGCGUAAAUUAUCGUCUGAAAAUAUUUUGAAUACCGAGUGGCGCGCAUUUUAAAUCAACUACACAGAGAGUUGUUAUUUCUGAAGAAUCGUGCCAGUAAAAUGGAACCACAUUUUUCUCUACAUUCUUAUUAAAUCCAUACGACUGUACUGACAUAUUAUUUCAAUCUACUGGCAGAAGAUCAUUUGAAUAUUUUAUAUAAAAAAUUAUAUUUGUACUACUGCACUUUAUUUUUAGUUUUGACAGAAACUAAUUUAUAUUUUAGAUGAAACGAUAUCUGUUAUGACUUUAUUAUUUAACUGUUAUUGUUUCAAACACCUAUGGUGGAAUAUUAAUAAUAAAAUUGUUGUCUCUUUUCAUGUGUGCGUAAAUUGUUGGAUUAAUACGCAAUAAAUGGCUGGAGUUUGUGAAUGUUAAAUUUCAUGGAACUACGUAUUCAAUUAUUCAAAAAGUUAUUUAUUUUAAAAUUGGUGCAUCAGAUGUAAUGGUAAAUCUAGAAAAAUUAUUGUGAUUAAUUAAAGAUGUGACAUCUAAAUGCCGAGAGUAUAAUUGGUAAAUCAAUAGCUUUUGUUAUAUAAACAACAAUUGUGGAAGAAUUAAGGACAAGAGAAAGAAAGAGAGAGACUGGAGGUAAAAAUUUCAAUUAAAUGUUCUCACAAAAAGAGAAAGAGAUCUUCAACAUAGCUGAAUUUCUAUUUUUCUUUCCUUUUCUUCCACUUCUUUUUUUCUUCAGUAGAUGUUAAGAUUUCAAAUGUGUCAUAAAUUUUAAAAAUUACAGACUGGAAAUAGAACAAGUUAUGCAGCUAGAAAUAUUUAUGUACCACGAGCUAAUAUUUAAAGCUUCACGUCAUUAAGCUCACGAGUGGAAGAGCUUCUGUCACUUUUCGACCGUCUUCGAGAACUUUCAUGGUAAACACGAUUUUCAAAUUUUCUUGCGUGGAGUUUCUUCGAUUCUCCUUUUUCGAUAAACUUUUGUACAUCGUUCGUCUUUUGUAGCUGGAAGUGCGAGAUAUAUAUACAUAAAUAUUCAUCAGUUAUGGAGGAUUAUUUGUUAUUAGAUGAGACAAUAAAUAACUGGGACAAAGUUAUAGGUGAAAAUAUAACAAAAUUAAUAUUUAUGUAAAAUACAAGAAAAUUAGGAGUACACAUAGUAUGAUGAAAGGAGAAAAUAUUUUAUCAUUUUUUAUUGAAAUUCAAAGUUUUUCAAUUUCAAUGGCGGUUAUGUAUAGGGUAAAUUCGCUAAAUAAACUUCAAUAUAGCAAGGUCCGAAUAUGUUUAGCCGUUGGUUAAAGUUCAAAGCUCAUUGUAAAAUUUCACUGAACGGUGAUUGACACCUGGACGACAGUCCAGGAAAUAAACGUGAACGGGAGGGAGGUUCAGAAAAGUGAUUUGAAUCGCUGCUAAGUUCUCUGCCGUUUUCGCGACUAGAAAUAAACAAUUCCAUGAAUGAAUUAGGCUCUGUAUACUUAUGCUUUACUUUGUUGAGGGAACUUUUUAUAUUUCGACUGGUACGAUAGUCAAUCAUUCUGUUUCCUUUCGUAUAUUCCAUGUAAGAUAUCUUACAAGUCAAAUGGUCAACAGAGUUCCUUUAAAUAGUCAUACGUGUAGAC